rnacentral:rRNA from 1 species
UUGAUGGCGAGUGGCGGACGGGUGAGUAAUGCAUAGGAAUCUACCCAGUAGCGGGGGACAACUUAGGGAAACUUAAGCUAAUACCGCAUACGCCCUACGGGGGAAAGCAGGGGAUCUUCGGACCUUGCACUAUUGGAUGAGCCUGCGUUGGAUUAGCUAGUUGGUAGGGUAAAGGCCUACCAAGGCGACGAUCCAUAGCUGGUCUGAGAGGAUGAUCAGCCACACUGGAACUGAGACACGGUCCAGACUCC